rnacentral:tRNA from 2 species
GGAGAGAUGCCAGAGUGGUUGAAUGGGGCGGUCUCGAAAACCGUUAUGCUCGCAAGGGUAUCCAGGGUUCGAAUCCCUGUCUCUCCG